UGCCUAAUACAUGCAAGUCGAGCGAAUGACGAGGAGCUUGCUCCUCUGAUUAGACGGCGGACGGGUGAGUAACACGUGGGCAACCUGCCCUGUAGACUGGGAUAACUCGGGAAACCGGAGCUAAUACCGGAUAAUCCAUUUUACCUCAUGGUGAAAUGUUGAAAGGCGCAUCUCGCGUCACUACAGGAUGGGCCCGCGGUGCAUUAGCUAGUUGGUGGGGUAACGGCCUACCAAGGCAACGAUGCAUAGCCGACCUGAGAGGGUGAUCGGCCACAUUGGGACUGAGACACGGCCCAAACUCCUACGGGAGGCAGCAGUAGGGAAUCUUCCACAAUGGACGAAAGUCUGAUGGAGCAACGCCGCGUGAGUGAUGAAGGUUUUCGGAUCGUAAAACUCUGUUGUAAGGGAAGAACAAGUACGUUAGGAAAUGAACGUACCUUGACGGUACCUUAUUAGAAAGCCACGGCUAACUACGUGCCAGCAGCCGC
rnacentral:rRNA from 1 species